UUGUAGUCUGUAUUUACUGUAUCUUUCUAUGCAGGAUGAACUUGACGAAGUCGUCACCACAUGGAAUUCACACAAAAUCAGACAACGUGCAAGUGAUGGCGCAGCCUCAGGUCGGCCAUUUGUGAUGUACUCAUUCCCAGAGUUGCACAGUGCUGAAGAUAGACUCAAACCUAUUGCCAUGGAGGAGGUCACUUUGUGUAUGGAUUGUACUCCCAAAGGCCAGUUUCCAUGCGAUGAAACGGUUUUUGAACUGUGUUGUCUACUAAUGGAGGAACAUGGAUGGGAUGCUCCAGCAGAUCCACUUGCUGCAGCUGAUCUGUACAUCAUUUUAAGAGAGGAAAUACAGGAAAAUAUUUGAUGAAUGGAUCAUGUCCAUUAGGUAUUGGCCCUCCUCAUGUUUUGGAUCACAAAAGACAUCCAGAAAGGGAGGAUCAGCUACUCCAACUUCUCAGGGACCUAAGGGCCAUACCCAAAGCCAUGGUUAAGAUGUUGGGGUGACCUAAACUGUUUGUAUUACAUCGUCCCAACCAAAUUAUUCAGCAUGUGAUAUCUCAGUUUUUCUUUUUUAAUAAAUUUGCAAAAAUUUC